rnacentral:rRNA from 1 species
UACGGAGGGUGCAAGCGUUGUCCGGAAUUACUGGGCGUAAAGAGCUCGUAGGCGGUUUGUCGCGUCGGAUGUGAAAGCCCGGGGCUUAACCCCGGGUCUGCAUUCGAUACGGGCAGACUGGAGUGUGGUAGGGGAGAUCGGAAUUCCUGGUGUAGCGGUGAAAUGCGCAGAUAUCAGGAGGAACACCGGUGGCGAAGGCGGAUCUCUGGGCCAUUACUGACGCUGAGGAGCGAAAGCGUGGGGAGCGAACAGG